rnacentral:tRNA from 1 species
GCCUGGGUGGCUCAGUCGGUUGAGCGUCUGACUUCAGCUCAGGUCAAGGUCUCGCAGUCUGUAAGUUCGAGCCCCACGUCGGGCU